GCGCCGGCGCCUCCUCUCGGCGUCCCCUGAGCCAGCCCGCGAGCGGCCGCGCUCCCGACUCUCCUUCUUUCCGCGCAGCCUCCAGUUACCCGGGGCUGGAGCCCGCUGUCGGCGGGUUGCCGGCUCUGAGGGCGGUGAGAGUGGCAGGUGUACCCUGCUGCACAGGUGGCCUCCGAACCCGGGAAAAGAGGAACUAAGGCGGAGGAACUGAGACGUUUCGAAUUCCAGGCGCACUGCACACUCGCCAGGGGGCACGCCAUGCAAAUCUCCUUCCGGGCCAAUGCACAUGGUUGCUGCCACAGGUUUACCGGAUGCUAUCAAGGUUUCAACUGCCCACACAGCUUCUUCAACGUGUUCAAAAUACUGGAAUCAGUUAAGCUAAGGUAUGAAGGUGUCUGACUCACUCCUCCUGCUACCAAAGCAUCUCCUUCAUCAGCCACUUGUCGGGCGAUGUCGCAAGCAGCUUCAUUGACUUUCUGCCCCUAAAAUGGAGACGGGGUCUCCCUACAUUGCCCAGGAUGGACUGGAAUUCCUGGCCUGAUACGAUCCUCCUGCCUUGGCCACUCAAAGUACAUCCUUAACACCCCUCUAUGGCUGUACAUUCAGGCAGGUUUAACAACUUACUUUCAUCCUGGAAUAAACUUGAAGAAAAUACAUUAUG
rnacentral:sRNA from 1 species